rnacentral:lncRNA from 1 species
CCUGAAUCACAAACUGCCUGCCACUUCCUGAAACAGUGAGUCCCUGGCAUGGGACUGAACUGCUCUGUCCUAACUCUCCGGAGAAGAAGGGUGUGCAAACUGCAAAAGGUCAUAAUCUGCAGGUGCAAAUACAUUCACCAUACUUCUCUGGAGUACAGCUUGAUUCUGAUAAAGGAAGGAGGAAGGCUGAAUUCCCCUUUGUUACAUGCAGAUUAGCUCUCUGCUUGCUGUCAAUAUACACAUCAGCUAGACAAAGUUCGGACAGCACUCUUUUAAAGACAGUUCCAGUUUUCCUGAAGGGAAAGAUCUGUUGGGCAUUAUCUGUGGAGCAAAUUGAUUAGAAGCACUGGGAAGACAAAAGGUAAGAACAGCUUCUGUGCUUUCCUUAGUGCAAUAUCUAUUUUCUUGAUUCCCAAAUGAAG